rnacentral:rRNA from 1 species
GAUGAACGCUAGCGGGAGGCCUAAUACAUGCAAGUCGAACGGUAACAGGUAGCAAUACGCUGACGAGUGGCGCACGGGUGCGUAACGCGUACACAAUCUGCCUUAUACUGGGGCAUAGCCUUUGGAAACGAAGAAUAAUUCCCCAUAACAUAUAGAAGAGGCAUCUCUUUUAUAUUAAAGCUCAGGCGGUAUAAGAUGAGUGUGCGUCCGAUUAGGUAGUUGGUGAGGUAACGGCUCACCAAGCCAACGAUCGGUAGCUGGUCUGAGAGGAUGAUCAGCCACACGGGCACUGAGACACGGGCCCGACUCCUACGGGAGGCAGCAGUAGGGAAUAUUGGACAAUGGGCGCAAGCCUGAUCCAGCCAUCCCGCGUCGAAGGAUGAAGGUCCUCUGGAUUGUAAACUUCUUUUCUUCGGGAUAAAACUGGGGUUACUCCCCAGCUUGAAGGUACCGAAGGAAUAAGCACCGGCUAACUCCGUGCCAGCAGCCGCGGU